UACGGAGGGGGCUAGCGUUGUUCGGAAUUACUGGGCGUAAAGCGCACGUAGGCGGCUUUGUAAGUUAGAGGUGAAAGCCCAGAGCUCAACUCUGGAAUUGCCUUUUAGACUGCAUCGCUUGAAUCCAGGAGAGGUGAGUGGAAUUCCGAGUGUAGAGGUGAAAUUCGUAGAUAUUCGGAAGAACACCAGUGGCGAAGGCGGCUCACUGGACUGGCAUUGACGCUGAGGUGCGAAAGCGUGGGGAGCAAACAGG
rnacentral:rRNA from 1 species